GGUUCGGUAGUUCAGUUUGGUUAGAAUGCCUGCCUGUCACGCAGGAGGUCGCGAGUUCGAGUCUCGUCCGGACCG
rnacentral:tRNA from 1 species